GCAACUCAUGCGUUACAAGCAGGAAAAGGCAAGAAGCAGUUGAUAACCAUCUAUUCGUUCAUUGUAUUGACUAAUUAACAAUUGGGUAUGGAAAUACCAUGGACACGAGAAAGGAUAAGCUGAUGUUAUCAAGUAGUCAACAAGUGAAAUAAUUUGUAGGUUCUGGAUGUUUGUACUAACAGCAGCAACGGGCAUUGUUCGUCGUUUUUUGAUACACCAGCUGGUACCGCAAAAACACCAGAUGAAAUCUCAGAAAACAAUGAUAAGGAAAAAAACACCUCUUGUGUGUCUAUCGUCAGCAAAUGUAGCAGUAACUUUGCAGGUUGGCUAUAUUUUAGCAUAUCAUGUUACGAAUACAAAGCGGUGAUAAUAAAACUAUUUAAUUCUGCCUUUUAGUGUAACAUAAUACGAGCAUCAUAUCUUUUAUGUUACAAAAAUCACAAUCCUCGGAAACAGCAAUAAAUCUAAUGACGCUGUGUUGCAUUAACUAAGUAGCAUUGUUUUUCUUCCGUGAAAUAGAAAAUUAUAUCGUUUCCGAAAGAACUUUAAAGAAUUUUGUUUAUUGCUCAAAACUGUUGAAUAAACUUAGAAAAAUAAUAGCACAAGUCAAACCCUUCAGACAAUCCCAAUAUCCACCACCAGGUGGCUACUA